UGUCCUACGGGGGGCAGCAGUGAGGAAUAUUGGUCAAUGGGCGAGAGCCUGAACCAGCCAAGUCGCGUGAGGGAGUACUGCCCUAUGGGUUGUAAACCUCUUUUGCCGGGGAGCAAGGGCGGGGACGUGUCCCGGCCCGGAGAGUACCCGGAGAAAAAGCAUCGGCUAACUCCGUGCCAGCAGCCGCGGUAAUACGGAGGAUGCGAGCGUUAUCCGGAUUUAUUGGGUUUAAAGGGUGCGUAGGCGGGCUUUUAAGUCAGCGGUAAAAAUUCGGGGCUCAACCCCGUCCGGUCGUUGAAACUGGG
rnacentral:rRNA from 1 species